rnacentral:rRNA from 1 species
UACGAAGGGGGCUAGCGUUGUUCGGAAUUACUGGGCGUAAAGCGCGCGCAGGCGGCUAUCCAAGUCAGUGGUGAAAGCCCGGAGCUCAACUCCAGAACUGCCUUCGAUACUGGGAAGCUCGAGUCCGGGAGAGGUGAGUGGAACUGCGAGUGUAGAGGUGAAAUUCGUAGAUAUUCGCAAGAACACCAGUGGCGAAGGCGGCUCACUGGCCCGGUACUGACGCUGAGGUGCGAAAGCGUGGGGAGCAAACAGG